UACGUAGGGAGCAAGCGUUGUCCGGAAUCAUUGGGCGUAAAGCGCGCGUAGGUGGCCUCAUAAGUCCGUUGUGAAAGUCAAAGGCUCAACCUUUGAAAGCCGAUGGAUACUGUGAGACUAGAGUACGGAAGAGGCGAGUGGAAUUCCUGGUGUAGCGGUGGAAUGCGCAGAUAUCAGGAGGAACACCAAUAGCGAAGGCAGCUCGCUGGGACGUUACUGACACUGAGGCGCGAAGGUCAGGGGAGCAAACGGG
rnacentral:rRNA from 1 species